GACUGCUCCAGUGGUCUAAGUGGUUAAAGCAUCUGCCUUGGAUGCAGGUGGUCAUAGGUUCAAACCCUGGUUGAGUCA